GCUUCCUCCAUACCUUCAUCCUUCCUUAUCAGACUCCAGUCGCCCUCACCAACUCCCAACCCGACCCCGACCCCCUCCAAUCUCAUACUAUCCCACUAACACAGUGUGCAGCAGUGGCAGCUAGGUCACACUCUUCUUUCCACUCCAAUUCAUUCUCUUCAGGUGGACAGGGAAGAUGACGGCUGGGAUGAUGUGACUGGACGCUGUUUUGAAAAUGAGUAAUACUCUGUAACUGAAUGCAGCAACCGAGGCUAACAGUGGAGCGUUGAUAUGUUUAGUCCACGAGAUACAAAUGGUCUGUUGACAUCAUUUCUGUUCAGCUUAUCACAUUUUAGAUCAGUUUCUCAUCUUUCAGGGAAUUAUUUAUUACAGCUCAUUCCAGUUGUUAAAUUGUUAAGUGUAACAUUUCAUGGUGUUUUCUUACUUUUGUUUUUGUAGCCUACUUCUUUGCUGUAAUGCAGGUGUCAGCUGAUACCUGAAUAAUAAUAAAGAAAACACCAAACUUGUGUUUUCCUUCUCACGAUGUGCAUGAUCAGUUAAAGGAAGUAAGGAUACAGUCACAGAGCACGAUUGGGUCGAUUGUAACAAACCUGGCAACCUCAGCGAUCUCACAACAAGACUCUGGGAAGCUGCACAAGAUCACUGCAUCCAGCUGUUGUCUGCAUUGACUGAGAAUAUGAGACCAGGUUCCUGGAAAAGAAAAUACGCCACUGUCGUCAUCUGAGUGAGAUGUGACACGAGAAGCUGACAGUGAUGAUGAGGACAGCGUUUAUGAUUUUGUGUUCACAGCAACACUGAGUUCCUGCUUUGUCUUCCAGACCCCGCGGCCCAGCAGAAUAUGUAUAUGCUGUUAUUAUGUAAAUAUUGUGAGUGGUAAAAAAAUGUUUAUAUUGGACUAAAAUAAAGCAU